rnacentral:rRNA from 1 species
CAGCCGCCACGGUAAAACGGAGGGUGCAAGCGUUAAUCGGAAUUACUGGGCGUAAAGCGCACGCAGGCGGUCUGACAAGUCAGAUGUGAAAUCCCCGGGCUUAACCUGGGAACUGCAUUUGAAACUGUCAGGCUGGAGUCUUGUAGAGGGGGGUGGAAUUCCAGGUGUAGCGGUGAAAUGCGUAGAGAUCUGGAGGAAUACCGGUGGCGAAGGCGGCCCCCUGGACAAAGACUGACGCUCGGGUGCGAAAGCGUGGGGAGCAAACAGGAUUAGAUACCCGGGUAGUCCCUGUCUCUUAUAU